rnacentral:lncRNA from 1 species
UGAGGGCAGUGCCCAGAAUUGAAGGCGAAGCCCCAGAAGCAUGUUUUGCAGAGAAGUGCCCAGGGAAGCUCUGAGGGCCCAUGUAGCAAAGAUCAGGGGAUAGUCGGUCUGAGGGUGAAUGGGCCACUCGGACCAAGACCCCAGUCUUGGGGGAGGGCUUAGCUGGAGCAGGUCCUGGCACAGUUGACUGAUGGUGCACAGAACCCGUGCAUCCCACGGCCCCACGGUGCUGCAGCUGCAGGAGGGGCGGAGGCUGCAGCCAGACAGCAUCAGAAGCCAGCGUGGUUCUGGAAGGAUCGAGAACACCAAGGUGUUAGGGCUGCAGCAGGGGUCCUGUCCCCUGGCACCCCUCACCGCCCUAAUCUUUUACCCUUAGGAGGCAGCAGACACGAGGGGCUGCCCGAGGCUCUAGGGCGGCCAGUGAGGCAGGAAACAUGUUCCAGCCCCAGCUAGGUACUGGUCCGUGGACCCACCUCCCAGAAAGCCCAUCACUGUGUAAUCGUCUAACCUGGGGCUCGCCGAGGCCUAUGCCUUGAGUCCACCCAAAUAGGGGAUGUGAUGUUUGGAGCUGCAGCAGCCGCCCUACGGUUGGGAGUCAGAGAAGAGCCGGUGUUCCAGGGACAAUGCAGCAGAGGCUGAGCCCAGGCCUGCUGUCCUGAGAGGUGGCUGGAUCACUGACACUUUGGCAGUGGUGCUGGGGUUUAUGUCAUGACCUGCAGCUGAGCCUACUUCCAAUGACCGUGAGAUCUGAAAGACUGUUUUGAGGGCGUAGCCUCUGCCAUGAUUGUGGGGAAUGCUGUCCUGUUUCCUCCCUUGGCCCUGCUCAGCCCAGCGAGAGGCUGAGGCGCACGUGGCUCCCCGGGUGCCCACAGGCAGCGUGGCUCACCAGCCGGGCCCUUUUCCACUGAGCCAGAACCCCCCAAAGCCUUCAAUGCAGGCACCACGGUGAGCCCACGAGAAACCCUGCUUGCCACCUCCCACACCCCCACCCCCAAGUUCAAAGGAAAUGGUCCCUGAACCAAGGGCUGAGAUCAGCUGUGGGUCCAGCUGUCCUGGGGAGCUGUACUGGAGCCCACCACGGUGGGACUGUUGGUCCGGCGGUGACCCCCACCUCCAUGUCUGUGGCCGCAGCUGGACAGGCCACUCCCUGGGCCACAGAGAUGUUUUACCUCUCGCAGCCCUCGGGCACACAUUGAGCAGAUGUGUGUGUGUGUGCGUGUGUGGGUGGGUGCGCAUUUGUGUGUGCCUGUGUGUGUGCGCAUGUGGUGUGGGUGCACGUGUGUGCACGUGUGUGGGUAAACAUUGUGUGUGCGCAUACGUGUGUGGGUAAACAUUUGUAUGUGCACGCGUGUGUGGGUAAACGUGUGUGCGCACGUAUGUAUGUGUGUACAUUUGUAUGUGUGUACAUUUGUAUGCAUGUGUGCCUGUGUGUGUGUGCCUGUGUGUGUGGGUGCACAUUUGUGUGUGUGUGUGUGCCUGUGUGUGUGUGUGCACGUAUGUAUGUGUGCACACUUGUAUGCAUGUGUGCCUGUGUGUGUGGGUGCACAUUUGUGUGUGUGUGCCUGUGUGUGUGGGUGCACAUUUGUGUGUGUGGGUGCACAUUUGUGUGUGUGUGCGCCUGUGUGGGUGCACAUUUGUGUGUGUGUGUGCCUGUGUGUGUGCCUGUGUGUGUGGGUGCCUGUGUGUGUGGGGCACAUUUGUGUGUGUGUGUGCCUGUGUGUGGGUGCACAUUUGUGUGUGUGCCUCUGUGUGUGUGCCUGUGUGUGGGGGUGCACAUUUGUGUGUGCGCCUGUGUGUGGGGGUGCACAUUUGUGUGUGCGCCUGUGUGUGUGGGUGCACAUUUGUGUGUGUGUGCGCCUGUGUGUGUGGGUGCCUGUGUGUGUGUGGGGCACAUUUGUGUGUGUGUGUGUGCCUGUGUGUGGGUGCACAUUUGUGUGUGUGCCUGUGUGUGUGUGCCUGUGUGUGGGGGUGCACAUUUGUGUGUGUGUGUGCCUGUGUGUGGGGGUGCACAUUUGUGUGUGUGUGUGCCUGUGUGUGUGGGUGCACAUUUGUGUGUGUGUGUGCCUGUGUGUGUGGGUGCACAUUUGUGUGUGUGUGCCUGUGUGUGUGGGUGCACAUUUGUGUGUGUGUGUGCCUGUGUGUGUGGGUGCACAUUUGUGUGUGUGCCUGUGUGUGGGUGCACAUUUGUGUGUGUGUGCCUGUGUGUGUGUGCCUGUGUGUGUGGGUGCACAUUUGUGUGUGUGUGUGCCUGUGUGUGUGGGUGCACAUUUGUGUGUGUGUGUGUGCCUGUGUGUGUGUUGCAGGCCCUGGAUGCCAGACACUGAAUAAACGCAGGAAGACGUCUGUCUUCAUUCUCCUCGUGGGUCGCUGGUCCAGAAACACCUGGAUGGAAAGUGCUCUGCAGGAACGGUGCCUCUGCCUGUGGCGGGGACCCUGGUGAGCGGAUGGGCCAGCCCCACGUGUC